UACAGAGGGUGCGAGCGUUAAUCGGAAUUACUGGGCGUAAAGCGCGCGUAGGCGGCUUUGCAAGUCGGGUGUGAAAUCCCCAGGCUCAACCUGGGAACUGCAUUCGAGACUGCAUUGCUAGAGUAUGGGAGAGGGAAGUGGAAUUUCCGGUGUAGCGGUGAAAUGCGUAGAUAUCGGAAGGAACAUCAGUGGCGAAAGCGACUUCCUGGUCCAGUACCGACGUUCAGGCACGAAAGCGUGGGGAGCAAACAGG
rnacentral:rRNA from 1 species